AACGUGUGAAAUGUUCCAGCACAAACUUCAGCUACUGCAUCUACGAGUACAGGCCAAGCUUGUCUGAAAUCUGGAAUAAGCAUUCGACCGGAUAAAGCGUCAAUACCAGCGAAACGCCCCCGCUUUGCUGACAAACAACCUGGCGGGUCUAGGGAUACUCUAGUUCUUGCUUCUGAUAAUCGAAAAACGCAGCGAGCAAAUCAAAAGACUAGAUUACAAUACAACGAAGAAAGAAUUGCUGAAGAAGCUCAUGAAAGUGAAAUCGAGUUUACUUUAUUAAGAGUCUGCCUAAUAGGUAGCUUAGGACUUUAACCAGAUAAAUUGUUUUUUAAAUCCAUCUUUAAAACAUGGUAUCUAAGAGAAUUUUAAAUAGAGAGUUACUGUCAUGGUAAAUUAUGUAAGUAGCUACAGUACUCUACAUUUACUGCCAUCUUUCGACAGAAGAUUAAACCUGUUAGAACGCCAUUUGACUUUGAUCAUUAUUCUUUCACUGAUAUCACAGAAUAAGUAAUAGUAUUUGAUAUGUGUAAACUUCUUAAAUAUUAAUAUUAACACCAUCUACUCGAGAGUAGGCCAAAGGUAUGGUGCAAUCUUUUCUAGCGAUGGCGCCAUAACCUUUGGCCUACAGUCGAGUAGAUGGCGUUAAUUUCAAUAUGUAACAAAUUUACACAUACUUAUCAGUGAAAGAAUAAAAGGGCUCAUUUAGUCGAUGCGAGAACUCGCAUGCGAGUUUCAUUACAUUGCGGUUUUCGAUCGGUCGGUUGAAUUGGACUUAACCAACAGUCCGCAAUGUAGCUUAAAUCGCAUACACGCUUCGCGCGCCGUCUUAAUCAGCCUUAUGGAUCAAAGUCAAAUGGCGUUCUAAUUCUAACAGUUUUAAUUUUCUGUCGAAAGAUAUUGGCAGUAAAUUUACAGUGGCUAGAUAAUUUAUUUUGACAAUCCGCCUCUAUACACUCUAUUUUCAUUGAUGGUAUCAAUGCACGCUAUAUUUAGUACAGACUAUGUAACUAUGUUUGUACGGGUCAAAUCUUGCAAGUUAAAUUUGACCCACUUCCCGACUUCCAAUGAAGCUGGAAAUUUGU